GCCAUAGCUCAGUUGGUAGAGCAAAGGACUGAAAAUCCUUGUGUCCCCGGUUCGAUUCCUGGUGGC
rnacentral:tRNA from 1 species